GACGAACCGAGCGAACGUUAUUCGGAAUCACUGGGCUUAAAGGGCGCGUAGGCGGGCCGUCAAGUCAGGGGUGAAAGCCCCCAGCUCAACUGGGGAAGUGCCUUUGAUACUGACGGCCUCGAGGGAGAUAGGGGCGUGCGGAACUUCCGGUGGAGCGGUGAAAUGCGUAGAUAUCGAAAGGAACACCGGUGGCGAAAGCGGCGCGCUGGAUCUCUUCUGACGCUGAGGCGCGAAAGCCA
rnacentral:rRNA from 1 species